AUGGGGGGAACCCUGAUCCAGCCAUGCCGCGUGUGUGAAGAAGGCCUUUUGGUUGUAAAGCACUUUAAGCGAGGAGGAGGCAUACCUCUGAGUUAAUACCCAAGAUAUCAUGUGGACGUUACUCGCAGAAUAAGCACCGGCUAACUCUGUGCCAGCAGCCGCGGUAAUACAGAGGGUGCAAGCGUUAAUCGGAUUUACUGGGCGUAAAGCGCGCGUAGGUGGCCAAUUAAGUCAAAUGUGAAAUCCCCGAGCUUAACUUGGGAAUUGCAUUCGAUACUGGUUGGCUAGAGUAUGGGAGAGGAUGGUAGAAUUCCAGGUGUAGCGGUGAAAUGCGUAGAGAUCUGGAGGAAUACCGAUGGCGAAGGCAGCCAUCUGGCCUAAUACUGACACUGAGGUGCGAAAGCAUGGGGAGCAAACAGGAUUAGAUACCCUGGUAGUCCAUGCCGUAAACGAUGUCUACUAGCCGUUGGGGCCUUUGAGGCUUUAGUGGCGCAGCUAACGCGAUAAGUAGACCGCCUGGGGAGUACGGUCGCAAGACUAGAACUCAAAUGAAUAGACNGGGGCCCGCACAAGCGGUGGAGCAUGUGGU
rnacentral:rRNA from 1 species